rnacentral:rRNA from 1 species
CCUACGGGAGGCAGCAGUGAGGAAUAUUGGUCAAUGGCCGGGAGGCUGAACCAGCCAAGUCGCGUGAGGGAAUACGGCCCUACGGGUUGUAAACCUCUGUUGUCAGGGAGCAAGGUGCAGGUCGGGACCUGCUGUGAGAGUACCUGACGAAAAAGCAUCGGCUAACUCCGUGCCAGCAGCCGCUGUAAUACGGGGGAUGCGAGCGUUAUCCGGAUUUAUUGGGUUUAAAGGGUGCGCAGUCGGAGGCCCCAGUCAGCGUUAAAAGCGCGGGGCUCAACCCCGCUGCGACGUUGAAACUGUGUCCCUUGAGUGCGCGAAGGGUAGGCGGAAUGCGUGGUGUAGCGGUGAAAUGCAUAG